rnacentral:rRNA from 1 species
AACGAACGCUGGCGGCAUGCCUAACACAUGCAAGUCGAACGAGACCUUCGGGUCUAGUGGCGCACGGGUGCGUAACGCGUGGGAACCUGCCCUUAGGUUCGGAAUAACUCCCCGAAAGGGGUGCUAAUACCGGAUAAUGUCUUCGGACCAAAGAUUUAUCGCCUUUGGAUGGGCCCGCGUUGGAUUAGCUAGUUGGUAGGGUAAAAGCCUACCAAGGCGACGAUCCAUAGCUGGUCUGAGAGGAUGAUCAGCCACACUGGGACUGAGACACGGCCCAGACUCCGACGGGAGGCAGCAGUAGGGAAUAUUGGACAAUGGGGGAAAGCCUGAUCCAGCAAUGCCGGGUGAGUGAUGAAGGCCUUAGGGUUGUAAAGCUCUUUUACCCGGGAUGAUAAUGACAGUACCGGGAGAAUAAGCUCCGGCUAACUACGUG